UUGACAUAUGCACCCACGUGCAUCUGUUGACGUUCCCUUAAUUCUCUGUCGCGCCGAUUAUUUUCACCGGUGUCGGGGAAUGAGUGUGUUAAACUGUUCCUUCGCGCUGUAAAUCCUGUCGCCUGUUAACACCGAUAUUACAAAAGAGGAAUGGACACGGAAGCAAAGGGAUCAACUGCCAGAUAAUGUCAGACUGCCAUUAGCCUCGGUAGUGUACGUUGCGGCUCGCCGAACAUAGAAAAGAGAAAGCAUCAAAGAAAAGAUCAGACGAUCGGACCGAAAGAAUUACGCUCAGCCGGGCGAUUUCUCGAAUUAUCCCAUGAUUAUUCAACCGCGGAGCAUCCGUCUUAAUUGAACUGGCACGAGUUUCUAUGGCAAGAUCAAAAUCAUCAGAUUUCCCAUCCGCUUCUAGUCGAAUUCGUCUGGUGGGAAAUACGCGGGGCCCGUUGUGCAACGAGACACGCGAUGCAGGAACACAACGGGGGUCCAGAGGAGAAAAAAGGAAAAGAAGUAACCAUAUGUGAAAGUGAAAGAAAAUCGGUGGGAAUGAUCAGCUUCCAGCAUAUUUUCCAUUCAAAGAAUACCGCUCGGUUACAUGACUUGCAGCGGAAUUCGUAUUACAGG